rnacentral:rRNA from 1 species
AUGUUUCGCGACCUACGCACAGCAGUAGAACAAGAUCAGAAGGAAACUGGAAAUGAAGACGGUAACAAUGAUGCAAAUCCUUCUGAGACUGAGUCCUUUUUGAAAAACGUGAGGAAAGAGGCAAAGCGGCACCUUUACCAUGGUUGUAGCAAGUUUUCAAGGUUCUCAUUUGUGGUGAAUCUUCUUCAUUUGAAUUCAUGCCAUAGGAUCACAAAUAGUGCAUUUACUGACAUUUUGAAGCUAAUGGCUGAAGCAUUCCCUCAACCCAAUACACUCCCAAAAUCUUAUGACGAAGCAAAGAAUCUUCUAAAGGAAUUAGGCCUUGGGUAUGAGUCUAUACAUGUGUGCAUCAAUAAUUGUGUUUUGUUCAGAAAGCAAUAUGCCAAGCAUGACAACUGCCCAGUUUGUGGCAUGUCAAGGUGGAAAGACCCUGCUAGAAAGAAGAUACCACAGAAAGUUCUGAGGCAUUUUCCAUUGGUGCCUAGGCUGAAGAGGAUGUUUCUUUCCAAAAAAGCAUCAGAAGAAGCACAGUGGCACAAGCUAAAGAGGCAACCCAGUGAGAAGGAAAUGAGCCAUCCAGCUGACGGUGAUGCGUGGCAAGAUUUUGAUAAAAAAAAUAUCCAAAAUUUGCAGAAGAUGCCAGAAACAUGA